UACAGAGGGGGCAAGCGUUGUUCGGAAUUACUGGGCGUAAAGGGCGCGUAGGCGGCCCGCUAAGUCGAACGUGAAAUCCCCGAGCUCAACUCGGGAACUGCGUCCGAUACUGGCGGGCUUGAAUCCGGGAGAGGGAUGCGGAAUUCCAGGUGUAGCGGUGAAAUGCGUAGAUAUCUGGAGGAACACCGGUGGCGAAGGCGGCAUCCUGGACCGGCAUUGACGCUGAGGCGCGAAAGCUGGGGGAGCAAACGGG
rnacentral:rRNA from 1 species